CUGGAUGGCUAGAUGGUCGCUGCUGGCAUACCAGGAGAGGAAAGUCCGGGCUUCGCAGAGCAAAGCGGUCGGUAACGCCGACCAACCGUGAGGUUAGGGAAAGUGCAACAGAAAGCAGACCGCCGAACGGUCGGCAACGUCGACGCGUGGUAAGGGUGAAACGGUGAGGCAAGAGCUCACCAGCAUUCAAGGUGACUUGAGUGGCUUGGCAAACCCCGCUUGAAGCAAGAUCAAACAGAGGGAAAUACCUAUUCUUCUGAGUAGGUAUGCGAUUUUGCUCGAAUCGCCAUACUCUCGGGUAGAUCGCUGGAGGCCACGAGCAAUCGUGGUCCUAGAUAAAUGACCAUCAGCUUCGGACUGGGGCAAGUCUUCAGGUUCGAAGUAGACAGAACCCGGCUUAUCGGCUGUCCAGCCUU
rnacentral:RNase_P_RNA from 1 species